AGCAUUAUACAUGCUCAGAUGACAGUCAUGAAGUAGUCCUUCCAGUGUCCACUGUGCUCAGAAUAUGAAUGUUACAAGUUUCACUGCAGUUCAUCUAUCUGCCUUUGGUUUUCUACAUUAGCAUUUUUAUUUCUUCUUCAAAUAUGUAAAGAGUUCAUCUUCAACAACACAUGUCUUCAGUUUAUUCUGUGAUACUACAAUCAUCUUAAGACAUUUUUCAUUUUUCAUCUUAAAUGCACUUCAGCUUUUUCCACUAUGGUUAUUGAAUAAACCUUUUACUGUUAACUUAAGAGAAUUCUUAGGGUCUUACAUUGUACAUUUUUAGAAAAGAAUUCCGCACCAGCUUUCGUCUACACAAGUAUGAGGAGAUAAUUUUAGCCUUUUCUAGUUAGACACACUUAUGAGUCCAUAAGUGCUCCUGGUUACUCUCCUUUGCACAGCUACAUUUGUGGGACAUAGACAAGUAUAGUUAAUAUUCUGGAAAGUGUUUGAACUAACUGAAUAAUUAAUAAUAUUUUGAAAAGUGAUAGUGCAUUUAAAUUUUUUUAUAAGGCAGUAGGAGGAAAAGAAAGAAAGAUGUGUUUCAAGAAGGUAAAACAUAGCACUUUAUUAGAUAACUCAUUCCUCACAGACAUAUACUCAUUUUACUUGUUUUUGUAGUAUAAUCUGCAAUAAGAAGUCAAGCCAGGGGCCUGAGCUGCCUCGAAAGCUUGCCUAUUGUAAUUUGUUCAGUUAGCUAAUCAAAGGUGUCAUUUUGCUUGACUUCUCAUUGCAUUCAUAAUGGCUAAUGCAGUACAGUAUCCUACUGCUGCUAUAGUAUAAUCUGUAAAUUAUGCAUUUGUUGAAGGCAUAUGCAGAAUACAGUGGCUGUUAUUAACAUACAAGAGAAAACAGUUUACGUCGUCCUUUGUUUAAAUACAUCUGUUAUUCCAAGUGUAAUGUGAGGAAUAUUCCACAUAUGCAAUUUUAGGUUUCAACCGCCUAUUUGUUCUCUCCGUUUCACUCCCAUCUUCUCUGCUUACUUUUCCUUUAAAAUAGUCACUGAUAUUUGUUUUAUUUGGAGAAAACAAACAAAUGCUUGAUAAAAUUAUCAUGAGUAUUAUAUGAGCUAAUAUACAAAAAUAAUUAAACCCAACCAUACAUUAUGAAACCUCCUUAAUCGUGUUGAGUUCCAGUAAGAGUUAAAGCCUAUCCUGGCAAGACAGGAUGCAAAGCAGAGACAAUCCCAGGGCAAGAGUGCAGUGCUACGUUCAUGCAGGCCACAUUACACAGGUCAGUUUGGAGAGACUCCAGUUAAAGCUGUCAUUACAUUACACAAUUUCUAGUCGGAAGUAUGCCAAACUUGACAACUGGGGUGUCUAAUCUCAUCACCUGAGGAUGUUGGAUUGCAUUCUAGAUAUCUGAGUGGAUGAUAAUGUAGAACUCUGUCACGUAACUUUAUUUUUUCAGUGGUUUUCAGUUGCAGAUGUCAUUUACAUAAUCUUAGAGAGUCGGAGGUAGAUGCGGUAGGCUCCAUUGACAAGUGGUGGUGUAGCCUGACAUUCCCAGCAACUCAGUCCAACCAGUCUGCAACUCGCCCUGACAAAAUCAACAGGUUUGACUUUUCCAAAGUAUCGCAAGCUUAUCCGUUUUUCUGACAGCCAAUAAUGUGCUAUGUGACAUAGUCGUUGCUACAUGAAUGUUUUCCAAACACGAUGAAUUCAGCUGCAAUCGAUCUUCUUUUUUUUUUUUGACCAUUCUAUCAUGAUGACACAGAUUGGCCUCUCUUCCAACAAAUGUCCUUUUAUUUCUUGUUGCUACAUUAUAUACAUUGUACUCCAGGGUGGCCCAUCUUUGGUUGACAGCCAUCGCAUACACAGAGCCCACCCCUACAUCUUAAGACAAAAUCAGCUUUGUAAGGAUGAGCUCCAGACUGACUUGCAGAGGAUGUCAGGCUACACAAAUCCAGCUCGCAGGAACAUGCUGUGACUGCUCCCAUCUUGUUUAUAUUAUUUAAAUGAAGUCUAUGAUUGAAAAUGUCUGGGUAAAAUUAUGCAAAGUGACAGGGCCUUUUGGGAAAUGUGGGAGGAACAAACUAACACAAAGAAAAAAAUCACAAAGACGCUAUCCAUGUCAGGGUUCAAUCCUACUACUCUGGGGUUAUGAGGUAGUAGUGUAAAUGUAUUUAUUUGUCCAGUUUUCUGUUCCAGUUUGUUAUGUAGCAGACAAUUCUUUUUUUUCUAUAGCAGGAUUCAUUUAUUAAUAACCUAAUACUGGUUUCUUUUAGCAAUGAGCAUUUUGUAUAAUUUUAUUUGGCUAUCUGAACAUGGUUUUCAAAAGUCAGCCUAAUGUUUAUAUUAAAAAAAAACACUUUGCAAGAAGGUUGAAAUGUGGUUUAGGGUUUGCAGUUGUCUUCCUUGAUGUCAGAAGGCGAGGGCUAAUAUACUGUGUCCCAAAGGAAAUGUCUCCAGAAGAGGCUUGUGUGGGACUGAUUUCUUUUCACCUGCUGUGUUAAACUUGAAUUUUGCAAUGCUGAGCUUCUGCAGAGCUUUGUACUCAUUCCCUCCAGUAUAAUAUUUUUGCAAUAUGAAAAGUAAAUCAACAGACAAAUCUCUCUGUAGAACAUAUCUUGUUUCUCACUGCUAACACAUAAAGACAAUCGGUUAUUGUUUAUUUAGCCUAUUUAAUACAAAGCAGCUCUUUAAAGCUGGAUGUGAUUAAAAGGUUCCAACCUUAUUGAAUUGGGUGAGUCACUUGUGGUUUGCAAAGCAACAAUGGACAUGGCUGUGAUGUUAGCAGACUGUUUUUAGUUAAAUCUCACCCAUUUUCACGUUAUUGUAGGUGUUGAAUUGUAAUGUUAUUUUUAUCUUGCCAAUUGCUUUCUUUAAUUUUAUAAUUUAAGGGUAUCUGAUCACUUGAUUGCACUUUCCAGGACAUUAGUUUAUUUGUAUACAUGAUGCAUACUUUAUUGCUGAAAUUAUGGUGUACAAGCAGUGUUUGCUAAAUCUUUGCAGUUAUUAGCUGAUAACGACUUGUACCUUGACUCAUACCUUCUAAAGUUUAAUGACUGAAUAUCAGCUACAAAAUUAAUUGGCCCAUAAUUUAAUAUUACAUAUUAAAAAAACAGCUACACUUUUCACUUUUUAGUUAUUUUUGCAUGACAUAGGAUUGCCUUGUGAAAUUCAUCACAGCCAGAAAUGUAUUUUUUGUUCUUAAUUAAUAUUUCAAUAGCUGUUCUUUUAAGUAAAUAGUGGCAUAUAUUACCAUAUCACUGAAGCAGUCACAUAGAUCAAUUGCAUCUUUAAUUCUAUAUUUUGUGGUAUGAAAUGUGAAAAAAUACAAGUGUUUACUUUUUCAGAGUCUUCUUAGAGUUUGUGUUUCUGACUGUCCAACAUUGAUUUUGUAAGUACUGAAUCUGUGCACAUCCUCAUGUCCACGCUAAGGAAAAUGUCCUGAAAUUAAUUAUUCAAAAAUCAGGAAUAUUUCUGUCAAUAACAAUACUAUUUUUGUAUGAGACCUGAUUGAAUUUAGUCUGUCAUAAUCUACAGUGAUGUAUCCCACUGCGAUCAUCAAAUAAAAUGCAGGGAAAUGCUUGUUGGAGUAUCAGCCUAACUAUUAAAAAUGAAAUUUAUUAACAUCCAAAACAAAAAUCAAA